rnacentral:rRNA from 1 species
UACGAAGGGGGCUAGCGUUGUUCGGAAUCACUGGGCGUAAAGCGCACGUAGGCGGAUCUUUUAAGUCAGGGGUGAAAUCCCGAGGCUCAACCUCGGAACUGCCUUUGAUACUGGGGAUCUCGAGUCCGGGAGAGGUGAGUGGAACUGCGAGUGUAGAGGUGAAAUUCGUAGAUAUUCGCAAGAACACCAGUGGCGGAAGGCGGCUCACUGGCCCGGAACUGACGCUGAGGUGCGAAAGCGUGGGGAGCAAC